UACGAAGGGGGCUAGCGUUGUUCGGAAUCACUGGGCGUAAAGCGCACGUAGGCGGCUUUCUAAGUCAGGGGUGAAAUCCUGGAGCUCAACUCCAGAACUGCCUUUGAUACUGAAGAUCUUGAGUCCGGGAGAGGUGAGUGGAACUGCGAGUGUAGAGGUGAAAUUCGUAGAUAUUCGCAAGAACACCAGUGGCGAAGGCGGCUCACUGGCCCGGUACUGACGCUGAGGCACGAAAGCGUGGGGAGCAAACCGG
rnacentral:rRNA from 1 species